CCUACGGGCGGCAGCAGUGGGGAAUAUUGCACAAUGGGCGCAAGCCUGAUGCAGCCAUGCCGCGUGUGUGAAGAAGGCCUUCGGGUUGUAAAGCACUUUCAGCGGGGAGGAAGGCGGUGAGGUUAAUAACCUCAUCGAUUGACGUUACCCGCAGAAGAAGCACCGGCUAACUCCGUGCCAGCAGCCGCGGUAAUACGGAGGGUGCAAGCGUUAAUCGGAAUUACUGGGCGUAAAGCGCACGCAGGCGGUCUGUCAAGUCGGAUGUGAAAUCCCCGGGCUCAACCGGGGAACUGCAUUCGAAACUGGCAGGCUAGAGUCUUGUAGAGGGGGGUAGAAUUCCAGGUGUAGCGGUGAAAUGCGUAGAGAUCUGGAGGAAUACCGGUGGCGAAGGCGGCCCCCUGGACAAAGACUGACGCUCAGGUGCGAAAGCGUGGGGAGCAGACAGGAUUAGAUACCCUAGUAGUC
rnacentral:rRNA from 1 species